GGCAUUACCGAGUUUUGUGGUUCUAGCACGGUCGCUCAACUGUUAUAUUCGGAUUAAUUAUCUGAUUUUAAACAAUUAUGAACCUAUGUGCAGAUUUUAGUUUUAACCGCCUUUAUUCAUUUGUUUUGAAGAAAAUUGCAACAUUAUUAAAACACAUCUCGAACCAAGUCACAUAAAUGCACCAGUGGUUUUUGACAUAUCGUAACAUCGUUGAGAUUUGGAUUUGGGCCAAAUAAAUGCGCACCCGAAUUUAGGAAAGUAAUAUUAUUAAAUGACGUGCCUAAAGCAACUACGCGUUUUAUGAAUAUUAAAGGCCUAAGCAUGCUCCUAAGGAUCCAAAAACACAUCCAUAAGCAAUGUCUAAACAACAUACAACUCCAAUCAUUACAAAAUUCAAUUGACAUUGUUACUCAAUCCCAAUAUCACUUUAGUCUAAUCCACUUUCAUGUUUAGCCCACAAAUCGCACAACUUAUUACUUCUCGUCAAUUUUCCAACUUAUAUUCUUGCAUCCUAAUUUCGAAACAUCUUCUUUUUACCAAAAACGUUUCUUAAGACUUGAUUCACCUUCAUGUUAUCAACUACAUGGAGCAAUUGCUCAAAACACAGUAAACUCCGCUAAGGCUACACACCAUAUCAACCACAAACUAUUUAAAUCAAACUCAGACAAUUUACACAAAAUUAAAUAUAUAAACACAGAAUCGUACCAAGAGCAAAGUAAAGAGCAUCAACUCACAUAAUCAGCCAAAUAAAAUUAUGAGCAGACAAGGUCGCUAAAAUUGGAAAAUGUAGGAACAUGGACCUUAAGACAGAAACUAACAAAGCUAAAAUGAAAAUUCAUCCAAAAUCUCAAAUCGUCACAAACUCAUGUUUUACUCGGUUCUUAAUUUCACCUUUUCGAACUCAGCGAAGACGUAUUCAAUAAAAUGAAGAGUGUCCAUUGACUGUCAUUAAUCAGUGAAAUUCCAUAAUAGUAACCGAUUACUUAUUCAAUUUCAGCAACUAGGCUCGACAUAAUUAUUGGAACAAAGCAGCCAUUCGAUAGUCACAUAUCAACGAAUCCACAUGAUCACACCAAAACAGAGCAAGAAAAACUGAGGGACGAGACUAACCUGAAAGAAUCUUUAAAAACAAAUUUCAGAAUCGAAAAUAACCUCGCCUCAAUCUCAAUACCCAAAUCGUAAACUCAGUCGGACUAAACGGUGGAAAUUCUGAACUCCACGGCCCCUCAAUCAGUUUCCAUGAAAGAACAGUCAAAACAAGACUGAAUCUCUUUUUUUCUUAUUUUUGAAUUAAACCAAACUAAAAAACAAACUAAAAUCAAAGAUGGAAAACCAAAAUCAGAAGAUUAAUUAAGGUUGAAUUAAGUGUGAAGAGGGUGAGGAAUGACUGAUUUUUUGGGGGAUAAACAGUGGUGAUUUGCUGCGCUGGUUCAGGGAGGUUGAAGAUGAAGGGGUGUCGCCGUUUUCCAGCCACUCGCCGGUGAGGUAGUAGCGGAACGAAGGGGUGAGGCGUGGGGUUUUCUGGUUUGUCGGUUCUACUGCUAAUGGCGUCGAUGGUCCGUUGAAGAAGAAGAGAGAGACGAUAUGGGUAGGGUUAUUUUGGUCGAAGAUGGCUGAUGAUGAAGGAUGAGCUCAAAGGGGCGGGGGUAUGUGAAGAAGACGAUCCGAAGGGGGGAGGGGUCAUGUAUUUGUAGCGCAGCUUUUGUGUGAAUAUGCGUUACUUUUUUUUUCUUUUAGAUUUUUUAAGCCUUACUUUAUAGAUAGAGUCUAGGUUUAGGUAUAUUUUUAUGUAUUUAGCCUAUUAGUCCCUAGAUCUUUUGUGUAUUAGGUCCUUAGGAACUUUUCAUUUUUUUUAUUUGUUUUUGUUCCAAAGAAGAGUCUAGAAGGGUCCCUAGGCUUAACGGACUAAUCCGAAUUGGGCUCUAAAACUCUUAAAAUUGUGAUACAACACCUUAAUUGACUCAUUUUAAAAUAAGAUAAAAAUACUACCCCAUGCAAAAUCUAACAUGAAACUAUUAUAUUUUUUUUAUUUUCAAAAUUAUAUAAAGAUGAAAAUAUGGUACUAUUUUUGUAUUUUUUUUAAAGAUACAUACUAAAAUAUUUUUGUAAUUUUUAUUUUUCUUGUAAUAAAAUAAAGUAAAAGAGUAAAAAUGAGUUGAAAUCGCUAUAUUAGGCCUAAAUUAAAUAUUUUACGCUAAAAUAUAAAAAAUCUUGGGGAGGGUCAAAAAUCACAUGUCUACAGUUGUCCCUCUUUGACUGGAAGGACGAAGUAUUUUCUGACAAAGAAUGACUAGACAGUUUUUUUGACCCGACCCUUAUUUGGAGAGAGUAAAACUAAGUGAGAGGGGAAUGUGAUUGAGCUCUGGUAUCUGAGCUGCCUACAUAUCCUUGGCUAUAAAGGAAUCAGGCCACGCGUAGUUCAAAGGUGAGUGAGGUGAUGGAGUAUACCGAGGUGGAGUGCCGAUCGAGGUGCCAUUUCGUCGGGGUUACGGUCCGUGGUCCUGCUAUUACAUCAAAAAAGGAAAAAGAAUAACUAAACCUGUCAACUAUGAGUUACAAAAUUCCUAUCUAUAAGUCUUCUGAAACUUGAUCUUGAGUCUUGAAUGGUUCUUCAUGCAGACUUUAGAUUUGAACCUUGAUGCUUGCUAGUUUCAGGUGCUAGUUCAUUCUUCUUCAGCUUUUCAGAUUAAAAUCGAACACACCAUGCUUGUGACCUCUUGUCUCAGCUUCUGUUAAUCAUCUCGGACUGUUGACUCACAUUCUUGCUGUUGCUGCUACUGCUUACUGAACCCCCUUAUUACACCAUGAUAAAAUAAAAGAAGCUAGCCUAGACUAUGAUCUAUGCAUUACAAAAUCCUAUCUAUCUUCAAACUUGCUCUUGUGGUUCCUGUUGCCUUGUUGACUUGUAUUCUCCCUAUGGAAUCCCCUUGUUGUCACCUUGAAUUAUAAUCUGAGAUGCUUCUCUUUCACCGGGUAGACCCCACUUGCUGAGACUUGACUGUAUUCCCUUGUUCUCCAGGUGGGCUCCUGAUUCCUAAACUUGAAAAAUGUAUUCCCUUGUUCUCUAGGUGGGCGCCUAAUUACUAAACUUGAAAUGUAUUCCCUUAUUUUCUAGGUUGACGCCUUAUUACCAAAACUUGAAAUGUAUUCCCUUGUUCUCCAGGUGGGCGCCUUAUUACCAAACCUUGAACUGUAUUCCCUUGUUCUCCAUGUGGGCGCCUAAUUACCAAAACUUGAAAUAUAUUCCCUUGUUUUUCAGGUGGGCGCCUGAUUUCAACAAAAUAGACAAAAACAAAGAAACUUUUCUGCCCUAGUUUGGCAUGUUACCAAAUAUUAGUAAGANNNNNNNNNNNNNNNNNNGGGCGCCUAAUUACCAAAACUUGAAAGGUAUUCCCUUGUUCCCCAGGUGGGCGCCUAAUUACCAAAACUUGAAAUAUAUUCCAUUGUUCUCCAGGUGGGCGCCUGAUUUCCACAAAAUAGAAAUGUAUUCCCUUAUUCUCCAGGUGGACGCCUAAUUACCAAAACAUGAAAUGUAUUCCCUUGUUCUCCAGGUGGGCGCCUGAUUACCAAAACUUGAAAUGAAUUCCCUUGUUCUUCAGGUGGGCACCUGAUUGUUGAAGCUUGAAAUGUAUUCCCUUGUUCUCCAGGUGGGCGCCUGAUUACCAAAACAUGAAAUGUAUUCCUUUGUUCUUCAGGUGGGCGCCUGAUUCAACAAAAUAAACAAAACAAAGAACACUUCUGCCCUAGUUUAGUAGUUGGGCACAUAUAUGAGUGUUAAACUGAAUCAUAUUACCACAUAUUACUAAAAAUUUAAAAGCUAGGUCCCAUUAUCCGGGGGGUUCUGACAACUCUUAACUAAAAGACAAUUUUAAAUCUAAGUUAUAUCUUUUAAAAGUAUGACUUUUGCUAAAUGUUGUUAUCUAAGAAGGUCUUAAAACUACAUCUCAUUAUCCAGGAGGGUCCUGACAAUCGAAAAUCAAGUAUUAUCUUAAGCGUGACAUCUUUUACGGCUGAAUUAUACUACCCUACAACUAAACUUAUGUUAACUCUUGUUAUCCAGUGGAAAUCCUAAAGUUAGGUCCCGUUAUUCAGGAGGGUCCUGAAAACUCCUAAUUGAAUCCUAUCUCAAACAUGCAAACUUUGAAGCCUACUUAUGUUCCUUUGGGGCGCACUUAUACUAGAUCUUGCUACUCAUAAUUGUUAAUUUUAAACUAGAUCUCAUUUUCCAGGAGGGUCCUGAAAACUUUAAAUUAAAUCCCAUUAUCCAGGCAGGUCCUGAGAGUUUAUGGUCAAACCUGUCUGGUGCUUGCUUUCCUUGCGGUCGGUUUCUCCAAAACAAACAAAAUUUCCUGCCCCUGUUUCAAAUCAAAGAAAAAAAUCUUGCCAGUUUAAAGAUACGGUGGUUGGUUUGUGGCCUUGACUUUGAGGGCGGUUGCUCCUUCACUUCUCACGAUAACUGAUUUCCACUCGAAGACCUUGCUUGUUCCUUGACUAGUCACUUUCUCUGUCAUCCUUAUCACAGAAAAUACCUCUUCUCUGUUCAGACCCAAUACCCUUUUUUUGUUGCAUUACUCAUGAACUGACUUUUACCAACCUUUGUGUCUCACAUGAAUCCCAAAGCACGUCAAUUAACGUCCACUCAAUGUGCAUGUUGUUCUUUCUUGACUUAACCCACUGGCAUUGUCCUUGAGGUCUAUUGCUCUUUCACUUGCCAUGAUAACUUUAAUUUUUGCUUGGAAGACCUUGCUUGUCACUGGUUAACCACUUUCUUUGUUAAUCUUAUCACAGAAAAUACCUUUGAUCUAUUCACCAUACACCCUCCAUUUGUUGCAUUGUUCAUGAAUUGAUAUAUACCAAACCUUUGUGUUNNNNNNNNNNNNNNNNNNNNNNNNNNNNNNNNNNNNNNNNNNNNNNNNNNNNNNNNNNNNNNNNNNNNNNNNNNNNNNNNNNNNNNNNNNNNNNNNNNNNNNNNNNNNNNNNNNNNNNNNNNNNNNNNNNNNNNNNNNNNNNNNNNNNNNNNNNNNNGCAUUAUUCCUGAAUUGAUAUGUACCAAACCUUUGUAUAUCACAGGUAUCCCAAAGCAUGUUGAUUAUAACCAGCUCAAUGCGCUUGUUGUUCUUUUCUGACAUAUGACAUUUUGAUGUGUUAGCCAGACUCCUUUUGUGCAAUUGGACAGCUGGUGGCAAAUUUGAAGUCAUUUCUCGCUGGUUCUAACCGCACAGACUCAGGAAGAGGAAGUGAACAAGACAAAAAGAACUGAGUGAAGGACAAUGGAAAAAGAUGAUUUCUAACGAGAAAACUACAAAGUAGAAACCUAUCAGUUGUGGAUACCAACUUUAAUGACCAUGACAUGCACCUCUGGCCUAUUCUGUCAAGUAAGCCUGAUGUUCGACUCUUGUUGUACCUUUAAACCGUGAAACUGGGCUUCAAUGCUCUGAUUAUCCAAUCUGAUUCACAACCCUUAUUCGACUUGUAGUGCCCGGAGAGUUUUCACCAUCAAGCCUCUCUCAUUUGUUCUUUCUCUCAACUUAUCGUCGCCUCAAGGUGCCCGUGGAGGUUUUCACCAAUAAGACUCUCUCAUUUUUUAUUUCUCUCAACUUUCAUCGCCUUACGGUGCCCGUGACGGUUUUCACCUAUAAGACUCUCUUAUUUUUUAUUUUUCCCUGCUUGGACCAAAGUGUUGCCCCUGAUAUGCAUUACCUCUCAUUGUUUGACCUGGCAUUUCUCGAAGACUGAUCAGAAGGUCUUUCUUUGGACCGUAAUGUGGGCUUUUUGAUAGGGUUAGAAAGAAAGGGUAUCCAAGGCUUAAAACAAUUCAAGUGGGUUCAAAAUUAUAACUUUCAGAAUCAGAUUUCUUACAACAACCACAAUUUCUGCCCCAGUUUCUUACUUGGGGACUUUUUGGAUUUUUUUUACGGGACCGAACCGUGAGGCUGCCUACGUAUACUUAAAAGGAAUCAGGUCAAACGUAGUUCAUGUCAUAGGAAUUACUUUGUUUGUUGUGAUUUUUCAUUUCUUUUCCUUUUCUCUUAUUUCCUUCUUUUUCUUUUUGUUGUUGUUUUUCUUCUCUUUUUUUCCUUUUUUUCUUCUUUUUUUUAUUUUCUCUUUCUUCUUCUUUUUCUUCUCUCUCUUUUCAUUCUUUUUCUUUUCUCUUUUUCCUUUACUCAUCUUUCACGCUUGUAUUUCUGAUCUUUACUACUAAUUCCGAAAGAGGGAUAUGAAAGAAAAUAUAUAAGGAUCAAAGGGGUAACGAAGGAUAAAGUGUUUAGAUAGCAGAAUAAAAUGUCUUUGUCAUUCCAAUAUUCAAAACAUGCCAAGUACAAACAAAUACAAUUUAACCAAAGAAAUCAUACAUAAUAUCUUUUGACCGCAUCAAAAUUGAUAGCUAUUUUUACACAUUUGCCUUCUAUAUCUGUUAAAUACAAAGCACCAUUGGAGAACACUCUCGUUACGAUGAACGUCCCCUGCCAAUUUGGGGAAAACUUGCCUUUAGCUUCAACCUGUUGCGACAGGAUGCGUUUUAAUAGUACUCUUUUUGUUCUAUCUGCCCUAGUUUCACACAAUUCGGGCUUGAAGUGAUCUCCAAAUGCCUUUACUUAUUUCCCUCAAAUGUACCUAUCAUCUUCAAAAUUGUUUCAAUGUUUCAUGACUAAACUAACUUUUAAGACUAGGCCAAGAAUUACGCAUGCAUAUCAUGUCACUAGAGUCAGCAGGAAAAGAACUAUAAAAGGAGGAGAGAAUUAAACAAAAAAUGAUUAGAAAUAACAGAAGACAAGAAAUUGCAUUAGACAGACGAUAAAAUAAUUCGAACAAUAAAACAAGCAAACUAAACAAGGGUUACAAUCUUGGAACAAACCUAGACAACACCUAAUGAGUUACAACGACUAAACAAACCAGGCAAAAUAAAAGGAUAAAAGGGUUUGAGUCACAAGACAAUAUCCAGAUUACAACCCUGAAAUCACCCAGACAAUAGAAAUGACAAUAAAAUAAAUCACCAAGACUCCUCCCUGGCUAGCCAAGAAAGGAGCGUCUUUCCAAUUACCAAGCUCGACAUCUUAGCCACUGAGUUCUGCAUCGAUAUUGCCAAGACCAUUACCAACUUCAACAUUAUCAACUUUAGUCAACAAGUUCCUAAGAGGAUUUGCAUGCUCCCUAUCACUAUCAUUCAUCACAAUUACCCUUUCUUGAAUCAUUCUUUAUAUUUCCCCUUUUGAAAGAGUAACAAUCUUAAAUGCUAUGCCCUAGGACAUUAGAGUGGUACUUGCAUCGUACAGCAGGAUCAAAGCCUUUUGCAUAUAGGUCUGGAGUAUAGCCGAGGAGCGGCUUAAUCAGGCCAGAAUGCUUUAACUUUUCAAAUAAGAUUGUAUAGGAUUCUCCGAUGGGCGUGAAAUCAUUUUCGUUUUUCAGUAGUCUUUUCAUUUUAUACUCUGGCUUCAGUUGGGACCUUUUGCUGGCAGGUGGUUGAUAUGCCUAAAGGGGCGGGUGAGAUGUCACGACCCAAAAAUCCCUCCAAAGAAGUGGUGAUGGCACCUAGUUCUAAACUAGGUAAGCCUAGCAUUUACUGUAAUAAUAUGGGUAUUCACUAACUUUAAAUUAAAUUACUCUGAACAAAAUACAAUUCCCAAAACCAGUAGUACAAGUCAUAAGCUUUUUCUAAGAGUUAUACACAAUAAGUACAUCACUGUUCCGAACAAAAGGAACAUAUGGAAAUAAGUACAAUUGAAGGUGACUCCGAGGGCCACGAAGGCUGCAGCAGGUUUAUCUCGAGUCUCCACUGCAACGAACAACUACUAUUGAUCAAAUACCUGGAUCUGUACACAAAAAUAUACAAAAGUAUAAUAUCAGCACAACCGACCCCAUGUGCUGGUAAGUGCCUAGCCUAACCUCGGCGAAGUAGUGACGAGGCUAGAACCAGACUACCGAAUAAACCUGUGCCAUAUAGCGUACAAAAAAUAAUAGGAAGCAGGUAACAACGAUGGAAACAAUGAUCAACCAGUGAGAUAAAUAGCAGGCAACAAGAACACCAUAAAUGUUUCUCAACAAAUAAUAAAUACAAGUGUAAUCAAUUAAUCAAGUCCUUCAAAUAUAAAUCUUUCGCCUAUAAAUCCUUCCAGUAAUAAUCUCUAAGAUAAUAUGUUUUUCAAUAAAUAUAUUUUGAAUAUAUUUCCUUCAAAUAGAUAUCUUUCAGAUAAGCAUAUUUCGGAUAUAAUUCUUUCGAAUAAAGGUCACCUUGUGACACCUCAUUUCAUAAUCAUAAAUAAUAUAGGUCUCAGCCCACUUUCGAAAUUUCACAGCACCUCGUACCCACAUUUAUGUUACAACCGCACGGACAGCUCACUUGCCAUUAAAUAAAACCAUAAUAUUUCCCCGGCACCUUGUGCCCACAUAUUUUUGUCUCACAUUGCACAACAAUAUUCUCAUGUUACUCAGCUCAUAGGUUCCAUAACCCAAUACAAUUAAGAAUGUUCAAGGAGCCUCAUUCACUUAACAUAAAGUAGAGUACAACUUCCAACCCAAUUAGGAAAUCAACAAGAAAAGAUGAAGUUAUUUUUAUAAAUCAUUUGAUAAAGAAAAUACCAUUUUCAAUUAAAGUACAAUAUCGAAGGAAUCAUUACCUUAACACAAAAAAUUAAUAAAUCAAAACAUAGUAGAAAUUCCUUUUUAAGUAAAGUACAACCUCAAAUGGUUUAAGGAAACUUUAGUCGAGAAAUCAAUUGAGCUAAGAAUGUAACAAUUCUUGAAAUUUGAACUAUUGAACAUAUUAAAAUAAUAAGGUGAAGUAUUGUAAACACUAUGGAUUCCAACACAAAGGACUACAACAGUAAAGUGAUCUAAACAGUUAAUACACUUGAAUUGUUAGUAACAAGUAAACACAGCAAACAGAAAGUACACGUCAUCACCCUUCGUGCUUUAACACUCUCUCACCAAAACAAUACACGGCAUCACCCUUCGUGCUUUAACACUCUCUCACCAAAAUAAUACACGGCAUCACUCUUCGUGUUUUACACUCUUUCUNACCCANGCANNNNNNNNNNNNNGUGCUUUAUCACCCUUUCCUCACCAUAUCAAACAACAAUCACAGAAGAGGGGCAAGGAAGUAAACUGGAUAAUAAUCGGGAUUCCAAUAAGGGCACAGCAAUUAACAAUAAAAUCCCUGGCAAUGAAUAUAUCAACAAUUUCACAAUUAUCUCGGCAAGGGAAUAAUUCAAUAAUUCUUUCUCUUUCUUUCUUUUCUUACUUAGUAAUUCAUUUUAUAACUUGAGCCAACGCUCCUCAAAUAUUAAAUAUCACCUUUGCUUUCACAUGCCCUUCACAACAUAUAGAAGUCAUCAUUUAAUCAUGGAAGAUAUAACAAAAUUCGAAUAUUCGCGAUAUAAGGACUUACGGUCAUGCUAGACACCAACGUAUAUAUACUCGUCACCAUGCCUAUACGUUGUACUCGACAAAUAGCAAGUAGCAAUUAAGACUCAACUCCUAUUCCCUCAAGCUAAGGUUAGACCAAACACUUACCUCGAACUUCCACGGCCAACUCAAGCCUUUGCCUCGCGAAUUCAUGUCCGAAAUUCUCAAAUCUAGUCAUAAACAAUUUGAUUCAGUCAAUAAAAAUUAUAAGAAUUAAUUACAUAUGAAUUUCUACAUUUUCCAUUAAAAUCCGAAAUUUAACUCAAAAUUGCCCAUGGGGCCCACGUCUCAGAAUCCGAUGAAAGUAGCAGAAUAUGAACACCCAUUCAACCACGAGUCCAACCAUACCAAAAUUCUCCAAUUCUGAUACCAUUUGGUCCUUCAAAUCAUCAUUUUACAUUUUUGAAAGGNNNNNNNNNNNNNNNNNNNNNNNNNNNNNNNNNNNNNNNNNNNNNNNNNNNNNNNNNNNNNNNNNNNNNNNNNNNNNNNNNNNNNNNNNNNNNNNNNNNNNNNNNNNNNNNNNNNNNNNNNNNNNNNNNNNNNNNNNNNNNNNNNNNNNNNNNNCCAAAUCUGAGUUAGAAUCACUUACCCCGACCAAUUUCUUGAAAAACCUUCGAAAAAUCUCAAAAAUCCGAGCUCUUUAGGUUAAAAUAUCAAAUAAAACCCAAAAUCUCGUAUUUAUAGAGUACCCCUCGGAUUCCAACACCGCUGACCGCAUAAAAAUGACCGGGGUCCGCGCAAAACCAGCCGGGUCCGCGCAGGCCUUGCUCUGUAGGGACAGGCUUUAGUAAUUUGGCCAUAACCUUUUCUACAAAUAUCCGAAUUGCGAUAUUUUUACCUUUCUAGAAACUAGACACAAAGAUCUACAACUUUCGUUUUUGCAUCACCUCAAAUUUCCUUGAAGAUAAAAAAUAUGAGUUUCCAAAUUAGGACCAGUAACCUGCAGUCUUCAGUGACCGCGGUCAGCGCUAGGCCAGCACGCCUAGCGCGAAAAAGAGCGUGGUCCGUGCCACAACAGUUGCCCCCUCCAUUUUCUAAGUUCCGGGGUAUCCGUACUCGCUCAAAACUCACCCGAAACACACCCGAGGCCCCCAGGACCUCAACCAAAAGCACUAACGCACCCUAAACAUUAUUCAACCUCGUUCCAAUCAUCAAAACACCUCGACUAACACCAAAAAUCAUCAAAUCACAUCGAAGAAAAUCACACCAACGCCUUUAUUCAUUUUUUUGAAGAAAAUUGCAACGUUAUUAAAACACGUCUCAAACCACGUCACAUAAAUACACUCGUGGUUUUUGACAUAUCUUAACAUCGUUGAGAUUUGGAUUUGGGUCACAUAAAUACGCACCCAAAUUUAGGAAGGUAAUAUUAUUAAAUGACGCGACUAAAGCAACUACGCGUUUUAUGAAUAUUAAAGGCCUAAGCAUGCUCCUAAGGAUCCAAAACCACAUCCAUAAGCAAGGUCUAAACAACGUACAACUCCAAUCCUUAAAAAAUUCAAUUGACAUCGUUACUCAAUCCCAAUAUCACUUUAGUCUAAUCCACUUUCAUUUUUAGCCCACAAAUCACACAACCUAUUACUUCUCGUCAAUUUUCCAACUUAUAUUCUUGCAUCUUAAUUUCGAAACAUCUUCUUUUACCAAAAGAGUGUCUUAAUACUUGAUUCACCUUCAUGUUAUCAACUACAUGGAGCAAUUGCUCAAAACACAGUAAACUCUGCUAAGGUUACACAACAUAUCAACCACAAACUAUUUAAUUCAAACUCAGACAAUUUACACAAAAUUAAGUAUAUAAACACAGAAUCGUACCAAGAGCAAAGUAAAGAGCAUCAGCUCACAUAAUCAGUCAAAUAAAAUUAUGAGCAGACAAGGUCGCUAAAAUUGGAAAAUGUAGGGACAUGGACCUCAAGACAGAAACGAACAAAGCUAAAAUGAAAAUUCAUCCAAAAGCUCAAAUCAUCACAAAUUCAUGUUUUACUCAGUUCUUAAUUUUCACCUUUUCGAACUCGGCGAAGACGUAUUCAAUAAAAUGAAGAGUGUCCAUUGACUGUCAUUAAUCAGUGAAAUUCCAAAAUAGUAAUCGAUUACUUAUUCAGUUUCAGCAACUAGGCUCGACAUAAUUACUGGAACAAAGCAGCCAUUUGAUAGUCACAUAUCAACGGAUCCACAUGAUAACACCAAAACGGAGCAAGAAAAACGGAGGGACGAGACUAACCUGAAACAAUCUUCAAAAAGAAAUUUCAGAAUCGAAAAUAACCUCGCCUCAAUCUCAAUACCCAAAUCGUAAACUCAGUCGGACUGAACAGUGGAAAUUCCGAACUCUACGGCCUCUCAAUUAGUUUCCACGAAAGAAUGGUCAAAACACGACUGAAUCUCUUUUUAUGAUUUUUGAAUUAAAUUAAACUAAAAAACAAACCGAAACCAAAGAUGGAAAACCAAAAUCAGAAGAUUAAUUAAGGUUGAAUUAAGUGUGAAGAGGGUGAGG
rnacentral:lncRNA from 1 species